GAGACAGCAGUCGCCGCGGUAAUACGUAGGUGGCAAGCGUUGUCCGGAAUUAUUGGGCGUAAAGGGCUCGCAGGCGGUUUCUUAAGUCUGAUGUGAAAGCCCCCGGCUCAACCGGGGAGGGUCAUUGGAAACUGGGAAACUUGAGUGCAGAAGAGGAGAGUGGAAUUCCACGUGUAGCGGUGAAAUGCGUAGAGAUGUGGAGGAACACCAGUGGCGAAGGCGACUCUCUGGUCUGUAACUGACGCUGAGGAGCGAAAGCGUGGGGAGCGAACAGGAUUAGAUACCCCGGUAGUCCCUGUCUCUUAUAC
rnacentral:rRNA from 1 species